UAUCUAAGCCCCAGUGCGAGCGGCGUAUUGUCCAGACCUGGACGGGCUUUCAAAUUACAUUCUGAUUGCAACUGCAGCUGCUGCCGAUGCAAAUUUCAGCUCAAUACACAAGAUAUAUAUAGCUAUCAUUUUCCUUAAUAUAUUGCAUUGCUGUUUCCACAUUACUGUGGCUAUUAAGACGUUUAGUUGCGUCCCAUAUUUUAUCGAAUAAAUAAUCAGUGACAUCUCCCUAUCCUACGCCUACAGUAAGUAGCAACAAGAGUUGCGAUGUGUUAAAUCGAAUCGAUUAAACUACACCUGAACAUAUUAUAGGCAAUUAUUAAAACAAUAACUAAUCCUAAUCAUUUUGUGUUGUUUUAUCUGUAUAAAUGUCCUUGUAUGUAAAUUACGCUGGUCACGCGCAUUGCUAUAAAAAGGUAGAAUAUUUUUUUGUGAGCCAUUCUGAGAGUACUCAAGCUGAUCAUGAAAACCAUAGCGCUGUUGUUAGGAGUGUUUGUGGCCUUUCUAGGACUGGCGGCGGCCGGCUCCAUUCCACCCCUAUAUCACCUUCGAACAUCUCAACUAUGCGGAUGUCCACCAGAUAAAGAAUUUUGCUCCGGCUUCGACCAUAAGACUUAUCACAGCAUGUGCGAGUUCGAGUGCGUAAACCCUGGAGCAGUGGGUUGGAAAAUACUCUACUUCGGACCGUGCAAGUCACGCUUGCGCGGUUGAAAUUGUCGAAACACUAACGUAACGCAAGGAAUUUGGUAGAAGAAACGCAAAAAUUUAAAUAAAAUUACAAAACGUACUAAUAA